AUCGAGAUUGUAGCAAAAUAUCAUUUCUAAUGUAAAAUUCUUCCUUAAAUAUUUUUUAACUUAAUGAUACUCUAAUGUUUUAAUGUGAAUAUUACCCGAUCGUGCAUUUCUUAAAUUAUGUACAGCAUACUUUCUUUUUCCUGAUGCAAAUCUUUUUAGUUAAAUCAACAAUACUUCAUGUUUUCAUGUAAAUAUCAUCGCAUUUUUUAAAAUGAUGAUUUGCCCUUUACAUUCUUUCUUUACAUUUAACUGCCCUUUACAUUUAACGCUGAAAUAUAUUUUUAAUUAGUUUGUUUUUACUAUUAUAAGUAGAUUUAUUUUAAGUUAUUAUUAUUUUAACUUUCGUAGUCAUAUUUAUUUGUUUACUAUUUUUUUUUUUUUUUUUUUUUUUUUUUUCCCAUGAACAUUCGAAUUUUUUCUUUAUUUUUUCAGAUGAAACAUACAUCCGAGGCUAUGUUUUUAAAUAAUGAGGCUGCUCAACCACAAGGCAGUACAUGCCUUUGGAUGAUCAAACAAUUCUAUUAUGGAUUUUGGUGAUCUUACAUCAUCACAGCUGGAUUCGCCUUUUGUUGAUACCUCAAAUUUGACUUGCUUGGAGUGUAAUAAAAUCUUUGCACACCAGAGAAGCUUGACAAGACAAAUUAAGGUGCAAUAUUCGUCAGGUAAAUACAUUUGCUCCGUAUGCCAAAAGAUCUUCGAAUGCUCCAAUGAACUGAAUAAUCAUAUGAAGGUUCAUGCCAAACGACCGAAAUACGGACCAUCUCGCUCAGUGAUACAAGCAGCUCCACCCGUUGUAAUGCCUGUCCCCAAAAAACCAGGAUCAGAGCGUCCACCAUGCCUUGGUACGUUUUCUGUGGAAAUCAUUUAUCCCAAUGAAAACACCAGUAAAGACUUGCAAAUAUUUCUGGAGUCAACAAAAAGUGAUGUUGCAGACAAGCUUCAAGAAGCUGCCACACAGCAACAGGGGAUUAAAUGGUACUUCAAAUGCUUGUGUAAAGAUGAUCAGAAAAGUGUCGGAGACUGAAGAAGAAACAUGCAUUACUUACUUACUGCCUGAUAUGCUGACAGCUAUUGAGAAGAUAAUGGAUUCCUUGGACAAAUUUCUGAAAAAAAAGGUUCAGGAUGGGUUUUAGACUCCGUCCAAUACCUCGAUCUCAAGAUUGCUGUCUACAGACCUUUAGCUGCUUCCUUCUACAUACCACUACCGAAAGCCUUAGCCAGUAAAAUUUCUGUUCUCAUUAUACAAAAUGAAGAUCAUAAAUGUCUCGUCUGGAGUGUCUUGGCGGCCUUUCAUCCAGUUGAAGAUCAUAGAGAACAUGCGUACAGAGUAUGCCAUUACAAGCCUUACGAAAAAGAACUCCACGUAUACGGCUUGUCUUUUCCUACCUCCAUUCACCAGCUGGACAAAUUCGAAAAGAUGAACAAUCUAUCAAUCAAUUUGUUUGGGAGCAAUGAGGUUUUGCCUCUUCGAAUCACCAGGAGUCAAAACGGUGAUCACCAUAUCAAUCUCUUGCUCAUUUCCGAUGACGAGAAGAGACAUUAUUGUCUCAUUAAGAAUAUGUCAAGACUUCUUGCUGUGCUUAACCAAACAUAAGUAUGCAACAUUUUAUUGCGACCAUUGCCUUCACCAAUUCACGAAGAAAGAGACUCUCGACGCGCAUGUGGAAGACUGUCGAGCCCGUGGACCUCAAACAAUUAAAAUACCGGAAAACAAAUGUCUUCAGUUUGAAAAAUUCCAAUUUCAACUACUCAUUCCAUAUAUAUAUAAUUUAUGCAGAUUUUGAAUCCAUUUUUGUGAAGCAAGCUACCUGCCUACCGGAUCCAUCGAAGUCAUCCACCACCCCUGUAGCCGACCAUCUUCCUUGCGGAUCAACCAUUUUCUAGAAGUUUUACUCGAAGAAGAAAGGGGCAUCUCAGACAUUUUAAGAAGUGUAGAACCCAUGAUUUUGACUCAAGAGAAUCAAUACGGAUAUAUCAAGAAAACUUACGGAUCAAAGGCCCGAUUAUUAUUUACCGACACGGACAAUCUUUGCUACAAAAUAGAAACUGCUGAUAGCUACCAAGACAUGGGAAACAAUCUGAGCUUAUUCCAUACCUCAGAUUACCCAGAAAAUCAUCCUCUCUACAGCGUUACAAAUAAAAAGGCAAUUGGUAAAAUGAAAGACGAACUGUCUGGACAAAUUGCCCAAGAAUUUGUUGGGCUCAAUCCAAAAAUGCACAGCCUUCUGAGUAACUUUACUGAGAAGAAAACUGGUAAGGGUGUAUCUGAAACAAUCAUCAGAAGAUAAAUUCGUCAUUUGGACAACGUUAACUGCCCUUUAAAACAAUGCGGGCUUGCCCAUGUGGACAACGUUAACUGCCCUUUACAACAAUGCGGGCUUGCCCAUGCACAACGUAUUGCCAGCUACGGUCAUCAGAUAAAAACUGCGGCCUAUACGAAAGCUACUUUGUGCCCUUUCAAUGCGAAACGGUAUUUUUUAGAAGAUGGGAUAUCAUCUUAUGCAUAUGGACAUUUUAAUUUUUAGUUUGAAUAAUUUUAUCUCUUUAUAUACAUUCAAAAUUCUAAAAUAUUUUAUAGUGUAAAUUUAUGAUGUAAAUAGUAGUGUAAUAAAAUGUCUUCACACUUUAAUAAAUGUUUAUUUAAAUAUA